rnacentral:rRNA from 1 species
GAUGAACGCUGGCGGCGUGCUUAACACAUGCAAGUCGAACGAAGCAUUUAAGACAGAUUACUUCGGUUUGAAGUCUUUUAUGACUGAGUGGCGGACGGGUGAGUAACGCGUGGGUAACCUGCCUCAUACAGGGGGAUAGCAGCUGGAAACGGCUGGUAAUACCGCAUAAGCGCACAGUACCACAUGGUACAGUGUGAAAAACUCCGGUGGUAUGAGAUGGACCCGCGUCUGAUUAGCUAGUUGGCGGGGUAACGGCCCACCAAGGCGACGAUCAGUAGCCGACCUGAGAGGGUGACCGGCCACAUUGGGACUGAGACACGGCCCAGACUCCUACGGGAGGCAGCAGUGGGGAAUAUUGCACAAUGGAGGAAACUCUGAUACAGCGACGCCGCGUGAGUGAAGAAGUAGUUCGCUAUGUAAAGCUCUAUCAGCAGGGAAGAUAGUGACGGUACCUGACUAAGAAGCUCCGGCUAAAUACGUG